rnacentral:rRNA from 1 species
UCAACGAGUCGGGUUGUUUGGGAAUGCAGCCCAAAUCGGGCGGUAGACUCCGUCCAAGGCUAAAUACAUGCGAGAGACCGAUAGCGAACAAGUACCGCGAGGGAAAGAUGAAAAGGACUUUGAAAAGAGAGUCAAAGAGUGCUUGAAAUUGCCGGGAGGGAAGCGGAUGGGGGCCGGCGAUGCGCCCCGGCCGUAUGCGGAACGGCUCUUGCUGGUCCGCCGCUCGGCUCGGGGUGUGGACUGUUGUCGGCCGCACCGGCGGCCAAAGCCCGGGGGCCCUAGGUGCCCCCGGUGGCCGUCGUCGGCACGGCCGGUACCCGCGCGCCUAAAGGCGUGUCCCUCGGGGCACUGCGCUGCAACGGCCUGCGGGCUCCCCAU